ACAAAUGUACAAGAUAAAGAAAAGGAAGGGAACGCCACGAAGUGAUGCAUUUCUUCGCACUUUUAAGUCGAAUUAAAGUUCUGUCUGCAUCAAGGGCGAAAUGUUGAAAACGCGGUGCAGCAUCUAUGGAAAUGUGUCUCGAAAGAAUGUUGGAGGAUAUACGCAACAACGUUUCUCAGUCGAUUGCAUAGAAAUUUUAUCCGCCCUUCCGAAAUUCAGUCAACUGUACUGUCCCUACCAGAACUCGUUUUGCUCGAUACACGUGAAUACAAAGAACCAAGAUGCAGACAAAUGUACAAGGUAAGGAAAAGGAAGGGAACGCCACGAAGUGUUGCAUUUCUCCACACUUUUCAACCGAUUUAAAGUUCUGCCUGCAUCAAGGGUGAAGUGUUGAAAAAGCGGUGCAACCCCAAUGGAAAUGUGCCUCAAAAGAAUGUUGGAAGACACACUCAACAACGUUUUCCAGUCGGUUGCAUAUAAUUUCAAUCCGUCUUAUCGCAAUCCGACGUUUCGAGAAUUGCUAAUUUAGAACUCGUUUUGCUCGAUGCACGUGCAUACAAGGAACCAAGAUGCAGACAAACGUACAAUAUAAAGAAAAGGAAGGGAACCGCCACGAAGUGAUGCAUUUCUUCGCACUUUUAAACCGAUUUA
rnacentral:misc_RNA from 1 species